rnacentral:rRNA from 1 species
CCUACGGGGGGCAGCAGUGGGGAAUAUUGCGCAAUGGGCGAAAGCCUGAUGCAGCGACGCCGCGUGAGGGAUGAAGGUCUUCGGAUCGUAAACCACUGUCAGCAGGGAAGAACGGUCACUGUGCUAAUCAGUAGUGAAUUGACGGUACCUGCAAAGGAAGCACCGGCUAACUCCGUGCCAGUAGCCGCGGUAAUACGGAGGGUGCAAGCGUUAAUCGGAAUUACUGGGCGUAAAGCGCUCGUAGGCGGUAUGUCAAGUCAAGGGUGAAAUCCCCGGGCUCAACGUGGGAACUGCCUUUGAAACUGGCAAACUAGAGUGUGUGAGAGGAUAGUGGAAUUCCAGGUGUAGGAGUGAAAUCCGUAGAUAUCUGGAGGAACAUCAGUGGCGAAGGCGACUAUCUGGCACAUAACUGACGCUGAGGAGCGAAAGCGUGGGUAGCAAACAGGAUUAGAUACCCGGGUAGUC